rnacentral:rRNA from 1 species
AACCAAUAGCCCGGUGAAAAUGCAAUGUCGGUAAAGAUGCCGACUUCCCGCGCCAAGACGGAAAGACCCCGGAAGCUUCACUGCAGCUUGGUAUUGGUCUACGAGUUGUUAUACGUAGCGUAGUGAGUAGGAUUUGAAGCCACACUCUCGGGUGUGGUGGAUCCGCCAAUGAAACACUCAUUUUAACGAUUUGUAGCUCUAACCGGUAACACCCUAAAAGGGUGGGACAAUAAAAGCUAAAGUAAGCUCCUGGUGAUAGAUUUAUUACUGAGAAUUUUAGUAAUCAAUCUUAUGGAGUUAUUUUAGAUUUUAUCAAUGUCUUACUUUUCUAGGGUGUUAUCGAGACAGUGCCUGGCGGGCAGUUUAAGUGGGGCACUUUCCUCCCAAAAAGUAAUGGAGGAGUUCAUCAAGGUUGGCUAGCUCCGGAUGGAAAUCGGAGCGAUAGUGUAAAGGCACAAGCCAGCUUUACUGCAAGGCGGAUAUGCCGCGCAGUUGCGAAAGCAGGACCUAGUGAACCGACUCUAACUCGUAGGAGUGGAGAAGAUCAUCAGAUAAAAGCUACUCCGGGGAUAACAGGCUGGUACUGCCCGAGCGUUCACAGCGACGGCAGUGUUCGGCACCUCGAUGUCGGCUCGCCCUAUCCUGGGACUGAAGAAGGCCCCAAGGGUUUGGCUGUUCGCCAAUUAAAAGGGUACGCGAGCUGGGUUCAAACCGUCGUGAGACAGGUUGGUCCAUAUCUGGCGUGGGCGUUGAAUAUUUGAGAGGGGUUGUCCCUAGUACGAGAGGACCGGGACGAACAAACCUCUGGUGAACCAGCUGUUCUGCCAAGAGCAUCGCUGGAUAGCUAUGUUUGGUUCUGAUAAGCGCUGAAAGCAUAUAAGCGCGAAGCAGGCCUCAAGAUGAGAUAUUCUGGAUCCCUUGUAGACUACAAGGUUGAUAGGACUCAGGUGUAAGCACAGCGAUGUGUUCAGCCGAGAGUUACUAAUUGAUCC